GAUGGUAUAGCUCAGUGGUAGAGCACAUGCUUAGCAUGCAUGAGGUCCUGGGUUCAGUCCCCAGUACCUUCA
rnacentral:tRNA from 1 species